UGCCACAAUUCCAGCAUUCAGAUCCAUCCCCAAAUAUCUCUCUCUCUACAUCGCGCAGCGCAAGAAGGCGACGAAUAUGGCUUUGAGGGCAUUCUACAGCGAGAUGAAGGGGUUGAAGGUGAAAGAAGUGCCCGCGCACCUCAAGCCUUAUUUCUCCGUGAGAUACAUGAAGCAAUCCUUCAAUCGUGCCGUGGACAAUUAUAUCGACAAAUACAUCGAGACCAAUUCCAUUCAGCCUCUGUAUCACGUCUGCUUCGGCGGAAUGGCUCUAUCCUACCUCGUCGCCCUCCCCGAGGAGCGCCGCCACCUCGAGCACCAAAAGGCCGCCGGCCACCACUGAUCCCGAUCAACCAAAUGUGUGGGCGCUGCUUUAUUUCCCGUGGGAAGUUUCUUGGUUGUAUUUUCCUAGUUAUACUUGAACCUUUGUGAGCACAGCUAACUGGUGCAAAUAAUUCUGGUUCUGAGAAUCAUGUUGGUGAAUUUGGGUUGAGCUUACUCUUUUGGCAUGAGCGUUGUUUCUAAUUUCCAAUAAGCUUUGUUUCUUUUUGCUACUUGCAUUGAACCCGUCCAUUGUAACGGUUUUAAAAUGAUAUAGUGUCUUAAAAUAUACUUGCA